UCAGUGAUGGAGGGAGAGUCAGUCACUAUAAACCCUGAUCUUACUGAAAUUAUGGAUGAUGAUGUGAUUCAAUGGAGGUUUUGGAUUGAAAAGACUUUAAUAGCUGAAAUCAGUAAAGAGGUUGACAGCUAUGAUUUCUAUGAUGUUCUUGAUGGGAGAUUCGGAGACAGACUGAAGCUGGACAAACAAACUGGAUCUCUGAUCAUCACAAACACAACAACUGAACAAACUGGAACUUAUGAAUUGCAGAUCAACUUUUACAGCAGCUUGUCUGCCUGUUCCUGUCAUCAGCAGAGACUGCUCAUCUCAAUCGUCAUCAUCUUCAUCAUCAUCAUCGUGUUCACUGGUGUGUUCAGUGGUGAAUGUGAGUCAUGUGACUCUCUCCUGAUACAAAGGAAACAGUUUAUUGUCCAGCAUCAGUGUGUCUGAUCUCAGCAUCAGUCUCUCUCUUCCUCUGGAGGUGGAAUAUCAGGAUAAAAACAGCUACAGCUGUUUAAUAAACAAUCCCAUAAGCCACCAGACUCAACAUCUGGACAUCAGUCAACUCUGUCAACCAUGUUCAGACUCUGUUCACUGUUGUGGUUCUACUGAAGCUGUGAUCUGAUUGGUCCUCUCUGCUCUGGUGGGCGUGGCUACUUUCAUUCUUCUGGUUUAUGACAUCAGAUCCACAAGAGCUGAACAAGAUCAAGCACAGCCCUCAUCACAAACCUAAAUUGUGAUGCAAGUUCUCCUAUAACUAUUUUGUUUAGCAUUUAUUAUUCUUUAUAUCAUGCUUUUGAUGUUAGUGAAUAAUUUGCAACCUAAAAUUAUUAAAGGAGAGCAUAAAGUAACAUUCACAUAUAUGCUUAAAGUUACAAAAAAUGAGUUUAAUGAUAAAUACCAUGAUUCAUCAAUAUUACAAUGCCUUUUUAAAGAUUUUUUUUUUAUUACAAUGUUAGCUUUCAUAUGGGCUGUAAAGCACUUUAAAAUGUACCUGUAUCAUAGUUUUAUUGUUGUGCAGAUCAGACGGCUUUAAUACUGAAGCUCUUCAACUGGUAGAACAUGAACACAAGAAAAUGGAAGU